GGCAGAGUCAGCUAACAAAGCUUUCGGGCCCAUACCCCGAGCAUGACGGUUAAAAUCCCUCCUCCGCCA
rnacentral:tRNA from 1 species